rnacentral:rRNA from 1 species
AUUGAACGCUGGCGGCAGGCCUAACACAUGCAAGUCGAGCGGACGAGGGGAGCUCGUUCCUGGCUUCAGCUGCGGACGGGCGAGUAAUUCCUACGAAUCUGCCCGGCCGAGGGGGCUAACGUCCGGUAACGGGCGCUAAUACCGCAUACGUUCUGAUGGAGAAACUGGUGGAUCUUUGGACCUCACGCUAUUAGCUGAGCCUUGGCCGUAUUAGCUAGUUGGUGGGGUAAAGGCUUACCAAGGCGACGAUCCGUAGCUGGUCUGAGAGGCUGAUCGGUCACACUGGAACUGAGACACGGUCCAGACUCCUACGGGAGGCAGCAGUAGGGAAUAUUGGACAAUGGGCGAAAGCCUGACGGAGCAAUGCCGCGUGAGUGAAGAAGGUCUUCGGAUUGUAAAGCUCUGUAAGUAGGGAAGAAGAAAAGUGAGAUAAUACCUUGCUGUUUUGACGUUACCAACAGAGUAAGCACCGGCUAACUUCGUG